GAUGAACGCUGGCGGCGUGCUUAACACAUGCAAGUCGAACGGAAAGGCCCAAGCUUGCUUGGGUACUCGAGUGGCGAACGGGUGAGUAACACGUGGGUGAUCUGCCCUGCACUUCGGGAUAAGCCUGGGAAACUGGGUCUAAUACCGGAUAGGACCACAUUUUGGAUGGUGUGGUGGAAAGUUUUUCGGUGUGGGCUGAGCUCGCGGCCUAUCAGCUUGUUGGUGGGGUAAUGGCCUACCAAGGCGUCGACGGGUAGCCGGCCUGAGAGGGUGUACGGCCACAGUGGGACUGAGAUACGGCCCAGACGCCUACGGGAGGAAGAAGGGGGGAAGAUUGCACAAGGGGCGCAAGCCUGAUGCAGCGACGCCGCGUGGGGGAUGACGGCCUUCGGGUUGGAAACUCCUUUCGCUAGGGACGAAGCGUUAUGUGACGGUACCUGGAGAAGAAGCACCGGCUAACUACGUG
rnacentral:rRNA from 1 species